AGACCCAAUACUCUCCAUCUCUCAACUAAUAUCACCUUUUUUUUCAUGUGAAGCAGAUAUUUUUCUUUCGAUGUCGCUUUAAACAACACAUUUUCAACCAAGAUUAAAAGCGAAAACUGUAUCAUGACGAUCCCCAGUUUAGAUUCAGUAUGAAAAUGAAAAUCAUGAGGGUCUUCACUUCAGGACACAACGACCACAUAGCGUAAUGUGGACGGGAUGAUACUAAACUCGACAGCGCAUGCGUUACAGGAAUCAGUCAUUCAGUCCAGGGUGUUGAAGUUCUUCCCGCUUUUAUUCGUAUGGGGGUCAUUAGGAGUUAUUGCAAUUGUUGCGAACGUGAUAUUUUUGUUGCUGUCCAAAUUCACGACGGGCGGGAAAAGCCCGGUGCUGGUCUUCAUGAGAAGCAUCUGUCUCGCUGACGUCAUGAUCGGCUUAUACGCAAUAUUAAAGGCAAUUGUAUUUUACUCCCUCGAACACACGAACGUGAACUGUUUUCUGCCGGACAGUAUCUUCAUCACGGCGACCACCGCGUCCAUCGGUUCGCUAGUGUGGCUGCACCUCGAUUGCUGCCUGCGGUUCACGCAUCCACUGCGGUACAUUCUCCAUAUGAAGAAGGACAACGUGGUCACGGGGGUGGUGAUUAUGUGGAACGUGUCCUUCGUGCUGGGCUUCCUUCCACUCAUGGGGUGGAACAACGUGGACGCUCUGUGUUCAUACAGCGACUUCUACACCCCGGAGUAUGUGGUGUUUAUAUCCGCGUUGUGGUGCAUCGGAUUAUUUUCAAACGUGUUCAUGGAAUCCAUUCUUAAAUACUACAUACAAAAAGUGAAACACAAUCAGCAUUUACUGACCGUCAACAGCCGGGAAUUUCAACGCUUUCAGAACCUCAUUCAGACCAAUAGAAUUGAACUUGUGGGCUGGUUCACGUGUAUCGCACUGCUAGGGAUAUGUAUUGUCCUCGGUGUCCUAGUGUUCAAUAGACUAACAGAUUUCGAUAGAAUUGAGGUAUAUGUGUUAUGCAUGAUGCCAAUAUUUCUACUCCGGCCGUGCAUCCUGUCGGUCGUGAGAAGCUACAACACGGCACAGAUUAACACUGCUACUCAGAGAUUAAAACGACAGGUAACGAGGAUCGUUCGCAAACAUCAACCAGCUUCAAAGGUCAAUUCCACGACUGAGACAAUUCGGUCUAGUGUGGACAGCAAUAAAUCAACGGAUGCAAAUAACAGUUUGAAAGCAAGCUUCCGGAGAAAUGGUCCAAGUGAGGACAUAAAACCAUAUCAAAAGACUGUGUUCAUUCACAGAGUUCGGAUUCCCAGGGUUCAGGCGCUUGUACAUCCGGGUUACAUAACAAGACAAUGGAAUGCAGCACAGCGGUGGACAAUCCCGUGUUCAAUAUGGCAGACGAGUGUAUGUGUAGUUCAACACUUCCGGUUCCGGUAUUUUGUGAAAACGGUCUUCCGCAAACUGAAACUAGCGUUGAUAUAUCGGAUGUGAUCACACAUCUGUAGAUCUCGAAUGUUUUAACACAUACAAUUAUUGUACCAGUAAGUUGGUCAUUUUAAUAAAGAUUCAUUGAUUGAU
rnacentral:sRNA from 1 species